GCUGGGUGUGGUGGCUCACACCUGUAAUCCAAACGCUUUAGGAGGCUGAGGCGAGUGGAUCACCUGAGGUCAGGAGUUCGAGACCAGCCUGACCAACAAGGUGAAACCCUGUCUCUA
ensembl:misc_RNA Metazoa_SRP Metazoan signal recognition particle RNA